UAGCGCAGCCUGGUAGCGUACUUGCAUGGGGUGCAAGGGGUCGUGAGUUCGAAUCUCACCGCUCCGACCA
rnacentral:tRNA from 1 species